GCACCAGAGCCAAUGGAACUUGAUG
rnacentral:misc_RNA from 1 species